GACGAACGCUGGCGGCGUGCUUAACACAUGCAAGUCGAACGGAAAGGCCCCUUUGGGGGUACUCGAGUGGCGAACGGGUGAGUAACACGUGAGUAACCUGCCCUUGACUUCGGGAUAACUUCAGGAAACUGGGGCUAAUACCGGAUAGGAAUCCUUGCUGCAUGGUGAGGGUUGGAAAGCUUCGGCGGUUUUGGAUGGACUCGCGGCUUAUCAGCUUGUUGGUGGGGUAGUGGCUUACCAAGGCUUUGACGGGUAGCCGGCCUGAGAGGGCGACCGGCCACAUUGGGACUGAGAUACGGCCCAGACUCCUACGGGAGGCAGCAGUGGGGAAUAUUGCACAAUGGGCGGAAGCCUGAUGCAGCAACGCCGCGUGCGGGAUGACGGCCUUCGGGUUGUAAACCGCUUUCAGCAGGGGCGAAGCUUUUGUGACGGUACCUGCAGAAGAAGCACCGGCUAACCACGUG
rnacentral:rRNA from 1 species